GGCCUGGUGGUCUAGGGGUAUGAUUCUCGCUUUGGGUGCGAGAGGUCCCGGGUUCAAAUCCCGGCCAGGCCC
rnacentral:tRNA from 2 species